rnacentral:rRNA from 1 species
CUUAAAAACCUGAAAAUAUAAAUAUUUUCAAGCCGAUAAAUGGACUUAAGUUAAAAUUAUAACCUAAUCUAAAUAAAAUGGUACCUACCGGUACCAUUAGGGAGGUAUACAAAAGAAAAAAAAUUCCCUGAACGUAAGUUCAGAGGGAAAUAUCCAUUGAGUAAUUAAAGCAGUUAUAUUUACUGACAAGUAAUAUCAGAUUAAACUGGUAGGUAUAUAAAAUAAAUACCUGUAACUAAAAGUAAUAAAUAAAAUUAAGGAAUAAAUUAAUUUAUUAUAAGAAAGAUAAUAGAAGAUGUAAAUCUAGAAGAUGAAAUCUAAAAUUAGAAAAGGGUAAACCUUAUACCUUUUGCAUCAUGGGUCAGUAAGUAAUUAUUUAUGGCAAUUGAACAUUAAGUUCAGAAUACUUAAAGGAAAAAGAAAGAUAUUUAAGAAGUCAUAAGUGAUUAAGUCCCGAAACUUAAUGAGCUUACCUAAAAAUAAUUUAACAGGAUAGAAGUCCGAACCUGUGUCCGUUGCAAAGGGCUAGGAUGAUUAUAGGUAAGAGGUGAAAUAUCUAUCGAAUUAAGUGAUAGCUGGUUCUCUACAAAAUCUCUUUUAGGAGUUGAUUAAAUUAGUAAUAGAAAAUAAUUUAAUACAGGGAUAGAAAGGUGAUAAGAUCUUCUAUCAAUAGGAUCAGAAUCCUUAACUUAAAAUAAAGAUCAUAUUUUAGAGAUAAAAAAGAAUUUUUUCAUUUAAAAGUAGGCUUAGAAGCAGCCAUCUUGAUAAUUAAUGCGUAUCAGCA